GUCAAAAGCUCUAGAAAAAGCAACUGAGUGGACAUCGAUUUGAUAUUGUUUUUUUUUUUCAACUGUUUUGUCCUAGAGUAAAGUGAUCCUCCAUGAAUAUUCCAGGGCUCCUUGUUUGUCGGGAAGGCUGUCUCCCUUUCAUCUAUUCAGCCUUCUGAUAGACAACCCUGACACCUGCUCCCUGGGGAGACCCUCCGCCAAGUCAGCGCACUGUUCCUUGAGAGACUUCCCUUACUUUAUCAGCCCAUAAAGGAUUGUCACAGGUGACUAUAUCAGCUGAGGUAUGGAGCUGCUCCCUCUGACCUGCACCGCCGCUGAGAGGUCGAGGCUCCACACGGUCGAGGCACCAUGCACCGCAUCACAAGCGGAUUAAGGAAAAAGAGGCUGCAGUGUCACAGGCUGGAUCACAAUAGAAUUCGGUUUGCUGUUAUCCGAUUACUAGCGUCCUGAGAGGCUUUCGCAGGCCCAUCCAUCAAGACUAAGGGGUUGAGGGAGAGCCUUGAAAACGCUGCUGCAGUGAUGUAAACCACUGAAGGAUUCAUGGUUAUUAAAAGGUGGAGAAAAUGGAGCCAAUCCAGUGUUCUGUAUCAGAGUUACAUUGGGGUUAAAGUGAUGAUCAUAAAGCAGCCAGCGGUGACUGAUAUGCGAGGUGACACCCGCUGCCUUUGGAUGAGGUGAUUAGCCUGUGUUUUCUAGGUGAGUUUUUGUCACAUUAGUGCUGGUUAGACAGAUGUGAGCAGAUGCACUGUCUUAGAUCUCCACCUCCACUCACCAGUGUCUUUCACUGAGUUACUUCAAAUGCACAGUACGCCUACAACUGUACAGUAUGUGCUUUAAUUUGGCUCUUUUCUCAGACCAAAGUUAACACCUUAAAAAAAACAAUGUCUGUGAUCUUAAAAGAAAAUCUGGAGUGGGUAUGUGGUCGUGCUAGCUCACUGGAUAAAGAACGACACCAUAUUUUCUAUUACACCAUUACACCACAUUUCUUCUUCUGCUUUCUUGAUGUAAAAAUUCCAAGAUAUCACACACUCAUUUCUGUAAGCCUUAUAUGAAGCUACCGCCAACAGCCGGCUAACUUAGCUUAGCAUAAAGACUGGAAAUGGGGAAACAUCUAGCCUGGACCCAUCCACAAAAUGAAUUAGCACAUUGUAUCUUUGUUUAAUCUGUACAAAAACCAAAGAGUAAAACCAACAAUUCUGAUGGUUAUGUGCCAAACUAUUUCUAUAGAACCAGUUGCUAGGUAACCGGCUGAGACUCCAGGAAGUUACUGGUCCCAGCCAAGAAGAAGUCGAGAACAUAACCCCCCCGUAAACCGGCAAAUUGCUGUUUUACACUUUGGUUUUUGUACAGAUUAAACAAAUGAGAUAUGGGAUGUUAAUUGGUGAGCUUGAGAGGUGCUGUUAGGCAGAUUUUGUUAUCUGGACAGUGCCAUGCCUGCUGUUUCCCCAUUUUCAGUUGUUAUGCUAAGCUAAGUU